rnacentral:rRNA from 1 species
GUGCCAGCAGCCGCGCGGUAAUACGAAGGGACCUAGCGUAGUUCGGAAUUACUGGGCUUAAAGAGUUCGUAGGUGGUUGAAAAAGUUGGUGGUGAAAUCCCAGAGCUUAACUCUGGAACUGCCAUCAAAACUUUUCAGCUGGAGUUUGAUAGAGGAAAGCAGAAUUUCUAGUGUAGAGGUGAAAUUCGUAGAUAUUAGAAAGAAUACCAAUUGCGAAGGCAGCUUUCUGGAUCAUUACUGACACUGAGGAACGAAAGCAUGGGUAGCGAAGAGGAUUAGAUACCCUCGUAGUCCAUGCCGUAAACGAUGUGUGUUAGACGUUGGAAAUUUAUUUUCAGUGUCGCAGCGAAAGCGAUAAACACACCGCCUGGGGAGUACGACCGCAAGGUUAAAACUCAAAUGAAUUGACGGGGACCCGCACAAGUAGUGGAGCAUGUGGUUUAAUUCGAAGAUACGCGCAGAACCUUACCAACACUUGACAUGUUCGUCGCGACUUUAAGAGAUUAAAGUUUUCGGUUCGGCCGGACGAAACACAGGUGCUGCAUGGCUGUCGUCAGCUCGUGUCGUGAGAUGUUGGGUUAAGUCCCGCAACGAGCGCAACCCUCACUUUUAGUUGCCAUCAUUAAGUUGGGCACUCUGAAAGAACUGCCAGUGAUAAGCUGGAGGAAGGUGGGGAUGACGUCAAGUCCUCAUGGCCCUUACGUGUUGGGCUACACACGUGCUACAAUGGUAUCUACAACAGGAAGCGAAACAGCGAUGUUAAGCAAAUCCUUAAAAGAUACCUCAGUUCGGAUUGCACUCUGCAACUCGAGUGCAUGAAGCUGGAAUUACUAGUAAUCGUGGGAUCAGCGUGCCACGGUGAAUGCGUUCCCGGGUCUUGCACACACCGCCCGUCAAAUCCAUAUG